rnacentral:rRNA from 1 species
UACAGGGGGGGGCAAGCGUUGUUCGGAAUUACUGGGCGUAAAGGGCUCGUAGGCGGCCAACUAAGUCACACGUGAAAUCCCCAGGCUCAACCUGGGAACUGCGUCUGAUACUGGAUGGCUUGAAUCCGGGAGAGGGAUGCAGAAUUCCAGGUGUAGCGGUGAAAUGCGUAGAUAUCUGGAGGAAUACCGGUGGCGAAGGCGGCAUCCUGGACCGGGCAUUGACGCUGAGGAGCGAAAGCCAGGGGAGCAAAGCGGG